UACGAAGGGGGCUAGCGUUGCUCGGAAUCACUGGGCGUAAAGCGCACGUAGGCGGCUUUCUAAGUCAGGGGUGAAAUCCUGGAGCUCAACUCCAGAACUGCCUUUGAUACUGGAGAGCUUGAGUCCGGAAGAGGUGAGUGGAACUCCGAGUGUAGAGGUGAAAUUCGUAGAUAUUCGGAAGAACACCAGUGGCGAAGGCGGCAUCCUGGACCGACAUUGACGCUGAGGAGCGAAAGCUAGGGGAGCAAACGGG
rnacentral:rRNA from 1 species